AGAGUUUGAUCCUGGCUCAGAUUGAACGCUGGCGGCAUGCUUUACACAUGCAAGUCGGACGGCAGCACAGAGAAGCUUGCUUCUUGGGUGGCGAGUGGCGAACGGGUGAGUAAUAUAUCGGAACGUACCGAGUAAUGGGGGAUAACUAAUCGAAAGAUUAGCUAAUACCGCAUAUUCUCUGAGGAGGAAAGCAGGGGACCUUCGGGCCUUGCGUUAUUCGAGCGGCCGAUAUCUGAUUAGCUAGUUGGUGGGGUAAAGGCCUACCAAGGCGACGAUCAGUAGCGGGUCUGAGAGGAUGAUCCGCCACACUGGGACUGAGACACGGCCCAGACUCCUACGGGAGGCAGCAGUGGGGAAUUUUGGACAAUGGGCGCAAGCCUGAUCCAGCCAUGCCGCGUGUCUGAAGAAGGCCUUCGGGUUGUAAAGGACUUUUGUCAGGGAAGAAAAGGCUGUUGCUAAUACCGACAGCUGAUGACGGUACCUGAAGAAUAAGCACCGGCUAACUACGUGCCAGCAGCCGCGGUAAUACGUAGGGUGCGAGCGUUAAUCGGAAUUACUGGGCGUAAAGCGAGCGCAGACGGUUACUUAAGCAGGAUGUGUAAUCCCCGGGCUCAACCUGGGAACUGCGUUCUGAACUGGGUGACUAGAGUGUGUCAGAGGGAGGUAGAAUUCCACGUGUAGCAGUGAAAUGCGUAGAGAUGUGGAGGAAUACCGAUGGCGAAGGCAGCCUCCUGGGAUAACACUGACGUUCAUGCUCGAAAGCGUGGGUAGCAAACAGGAUUAGAUACCCUGGUAGUCCACGCCCUAA
rnacentral:rRNA from 1 species